rnacentral:rRNA from 1 species
UCUAAGACGAGGAUAACGACUGGAAACGGUCGCUAAAACUGGAUAGGAUCAUUUGAGGCAUCUCGAAUGAUUUAAAGGGGCUUUCAAGCCACACUUAGAGAAAGGCCUGCGGCGCAUUAGCUAGGUUGGGUGGGGUAGAGGCCUACCAAGGCGAUGAUGCGUAGCCGGACUGAGAGGUCGAACGGCCACAUUGGGACUGAGACACGGCCCAAACUCCUACGGGAGGCAGCAGUAGGGAAUUUUCGGCAAUGGGGGAAACCCUGACCGAGCAACGCCGCGUGAAUGAAAGACGUAUUUCGGUAUGUAAAGUUCUUUUAUUAAGGAAGAAUAUCACGGAUAGGAAAUGAUCUGUGAGUGACGGUACUUAAUGAAUAAGCCCCGGCUAACUAUGUGCCAGCAGCCGC